rnacentral:rRNA from 1 species
GAUGAACGCUAGCUACAGGCUUAACACAUGCAAGUCGAGGGACCGGCGCACGGGGGAGUCACACGUAUCCAACCUGCCCCUUACUCGGGGAGAGCCUUUCGAAAGAAAGAUUAAUACCCGAUAUAAAGGAUGGGGAUGCGUUCCAUUAGGAUGUUGGUGAGGUAACGGCGCACCAAGCCGUCGAUGGCUAGGGGUUGUGAUAGGAAUGUCCCCCACAUUGGAACUGAGACACGGUCCAAACUCCUACGGGAGGCAGCAGUGAGGAAUAUUGGUCAAUGGGCGCUAGCCUGAACCAGCCAAGUAGCGUGAAGUAUGAAUGCUUAUGGGUCGUAAACUUCUUUUAUAUAAGAAUAUGUAUUAUAUGAAUAAGGAUCGGCUAACUCCGUGCCAGCAGCCGCGGUAAUAC